rnacentral:SRP_RNA from 1 species
GCCUGGCUUACAAAAGUGGCGUUGAGAACUGGGUCCCACGCAACGGAAAUUCAUGAACCCCGUCAGGUCCGGAAGGAAGCAGCGGUAAGUGAACCCUUUCGUGUGCCGUGGAGCAGCCUGGUUUGAGCUAACUAUGUAAGUAACGCUUAUAGGCCAUUGUCGAAGCAAGGUGCACGG